AUGCACUACGCCUCACUGCUUCCUUCUAUGGAUGGGUCCGUUAAGACCACGGAGAAUCGCGUGCCGGGUUGUACUGCGCAGGUAUGGUUGCAUGUGAGUUUAGAUGAGGAGGGCAAGAUGAGAUUUUUGGUGGACAGUGAUUCGGAGAUAACUAAAGGGUUUUGCGCCUGUUUGGUUUGGCUGCUUGAUGGGGCUGCUCCUGAUGAGGUGCUGGCGUUGAAAACAGAGGAUUUGAAUGCUCUGAAUGCUGUGGGGUUGAACGGGAAAGGAUCUGCAUCUAGGGUGAAUACAUGGCAUAAUGUGUUGGUCAGCAUGCAGAAAAGAACAAGGGCUGCUGUGGCAGAGCGCGAUGGAAAGCCGCG
rnacentral:misc_RNA from 1 species